ACAAAUAAGAUCAUGCCAACUCUACUCCAUGUACUGCUGGUGUCACAGACUCACCUCUGCGGCAGUAUGCCCUGCCUUUGCUGUGUACUUAAAUCUGCUGGAGGAUGAUGCAUGGGCAUGCACGGCAUUAGAUUCUAUUGCUGUUUGUUUGGCUCACGAUAAUGAUCACAGAAAAGUGGAACAA